rnacentral:rRNA from 1 species
AUUGAACGCUGGCGGCAGGCUUAACACAUGCAAGUCGAGCGGAGCGAGGGUGCUUGCACCUUAGCUUAGCGGCGGACGGGUGAGUAAUGCUUAGGAAUCUGCCUAUUAGUGGGGGACAACAUUCCGAAAGGAAUGCUAAUACCGCAUACGCCCUACGGGGGAAAGCAGGGGAUCUUCGGACCUUGCGCUAAUAGAUGAGCCUAAGUCGGAUUAGCUAGUUGGUGGGGUAAAGGCCUACCAAGGCGACGAUCUGUAGCGGGUCUGAGAGGAUGAUCCGCCACACUGGGACUGAGGCACGGCCCAGACUCCUACGGGAGGCAGCAGUGGGGAAUAUUGGACAAUGGGCGGAAGCCUGAUCCAGCCAUGCCGCGUGUGUGAAGAAGGCCUUUUGGUUGUAAAGCACUUUAAGCGAGGAGGAGGCUACUUAGAUUAAUACUCUGGGAUAGUGGACGUUACUCGCAGAAUAAGCACCGGCUAACUCCGUGCCAGCAGCCGCGGUAA